UAGGAUAUGGCGUAAUUUUGGUAACGCGUUUGUUUUGGGUACAAAAGAUUGUGGGUUCGAAUUCUGCUAUCCUAA
rnacentral:tRNA from 1 species